rnacentral:lncRNA from 1 species
UCUUGGAACCCUCCGAUUCCUUCAUGAUCUUGUGGGCAGGAUCCUCCGAUGACCAAAACUGGCCUGUAAAAGAAAGAUUUUAUUUUGGGUUGAAAUAUGCGAGAACCGCGUCGGGUCCGGGUGUGGGGUGGGUAAUGAGAAACAGGCUAGUCUUAGGUUGAUUCGUAAGCCUCAUUGUUGGCACGUUACACGGAAAAGUAUAAGUACCCAGGGUGGUGAAGAAGCGACGCACCGCGGGGGGCGACAUGGCCUGUUGCCUCUUUUCCGUUUACAGCGGUCAUUUGGCAAAUUCCGGUGAUUGAACGGACAGCGCAGGUGUACAACGAUCGAAAACCGAACAGGGUCAGUCAAGACUCAACGCUAUGAAACUACCAGGAAACUAAUCUAAAUCCGAAACCAAUCAACUAAAUCAUCGCAAUAACGGUGCCGUUCUAGAAUAAAACGCCACGCUCCGUUUGUCCGUAAUGCAAAUGCAGAUAUAAUGCGAAAUGCAUAAAAAUAUAUAAGUAGAUGGAAUUCUCAUCGGGACAUGGAUUGAACGUUGCGUUUGGGCGUAUUACAAUUUACAGAUUAUUGGGUGGGCUUUCGAUCGACCGCUGCUAUGCGUGUCGAUUUUAGGUUUUUAUGCCUGUAUAGGUAUAUGUAUAUCCCUCGCGUGAUAUGGGAGCAAUUUUUACGUAAUUUGCUUAUAUAAGAUGAACAGCAUAGCAGUAAUCUGAUGAUCCUCGAGGCUCGCUCAUAGCUGAUCAUUGGAGUAUGGUGUUCGCCAGAUUGGUCACAGUCAUGGAACACGUAAAAUUUGUCCGUGAUAAUGCGAUUGCUAUGUGCACGUAAUACGAAGCAAGGACAGUUCGAGAGCGGAAAAAAUACAAGUUUUACGAGUACCGCGCCUAUCACCGGCAUCGCGUAAUGCAGCAUGUGCGCGUACGUGAAGAAAUUUGUUUCUGAAAAAAUUCUGUUCCAACUCAUAGUUGAUGUUCAAAUAAGAAACUAAAUGAACAAAACGCUUUGUUAUUCGAAUCAGAAUUUUCUUCGCCGAGUUUGCGCUUUUUCACGUUGUACAGCCUUAAACGAAUAUAAUCACGAAACGUGCAUGGCUCAUAAGAAUUUAUGAUUAUACACGUAGUAUGGCCAUGAUAAAAUAGAUGAAUUUUUUUUACUAUCGCGCUCGAAUUUUUCCAUUGCAGCUGGAGUAGUUGAAUAUGUAGUAGAGAAUUAAACACGUGGCACCACUAAACAAAAUUCCGAGUAAUGGAGCGUUGCAGAGUCGGUAGAUAGACCCUCCCUAAAACUCUCAAGGGUGCAGGGUCGAAGGUAUCGUACUUUUCCAAGACCCUACAUAAGUAAAACUUCGGGAAACUAAAAUGUAAGCGACGUUGUUGAAACAGCAAUUGAAAAUCGGUAAUCCCGUAGAUGGGUGAAAACCCCGGCUAAAAUAAAACGGAUACGUGUUUUAGGAACUAUUUCGUGACGAGUAUUGAUCAGAUUAAUUUAAGCCCCUUCACAUUGUUGGGUAAAAGUGAAAAAAUUUCACUAUUUCAUUUAUUUUUUAUUUAUAAAAAAUUAACUCGGUAAAAUUAAUAUCAAAUUUUUCACGUAGCUAUGAGAAGUCUGGCUUUUGACGCGAAGCUAACACAUGAGCAACUUCAUACCGAUUGCUUAUCGUCGGUGAUUACAAGGAUAAUUACCAAACUAAUAACGUCGCACGAUAAUCUGCACAACCGAGCAUUCGAUGUUGCAAAUUACCAUUGCAGGUACUCGUAAUUGAAUAAUAGCCAGCAGGUUCAUUUAACUUCCUCUAUGCACGACAGAACUAAAGAUAUAAAAUAUUAUCCCAUUUUUCGUGACAAGCGAUUCUCGCAUAGAUCGUCAAUAUAUAAAAUUCUACACGAAUCCGAGCUUGUUAUGCGAAUCGAUUUGAAAUUAGAAGUCCGUUAGAAUUUUUUCAUUCGAAAUGAAAUAUUCGCAGAGUUUUAAUUCCCGUUUUGAGAGUUCGUUUAAAUUAGCUGGAAAGCAUUGGAUAAACGUCGACGACACCUGACUAUUUGAACGCCUAGCAUAUUAUCGUUGCUGCGGAAAGUUGCGCGCUUCAAUGCGCGGUGUUACUUUGCGCACAUUUAUAGCUCAGUCAUUUCGAACGCAGCUGCGACUAUGAAUUUGAACACUACUUGGAAAGAACUCGUCAAGAAUGGUUUAAUGAUUCCGUUCUCUGGGUACGCAAAAACCUCAACAUGUGAUGAUAAACGAAACGUUCUCCUGAAUGAAAUUACAGAACAUGCUACAAAGUUUGAUAAUUACUUAUACCAUCUUCGUAGACAUAACCUCAAAAGAUGAUCGUAAGUGAUGAAAAAAAAACCAUCAAAUAAAACAAUGAUUA